ACCGCAACCAAAUCUCUCUCUCUCUCUCUCUCUCUCUCUAACGAAAUCCCUAAAAUCCCUAAAAUCGUCUCCAAAAUUUUUCGAUCCCUAAAAUCGCCGUGGCCAAGAUCUCGUCGCUGUUUUCUGAUCGGAUCUCAUCUCCAAGCUCCUCUCUGAUCUCGUCGCCGUUAGUUUCGUCGUCGAGCUAGUCACCGUUUUCUAGGGUUUGCCAUUCUCUCCAAUCUCUCCGAUCUCUUCGAGCUACUAAUAUCGUCGUCAUGCUACUCUCGUUGCCAUUCCAGUCUUGUUCGUCAUCGUCAAGCUACUAAUAUCGCCGUCAAGGUGCUGCGGAUAACGUCGUCAAGCUACUAAUCUCGUCGAUCCCUGAGGGUGGUGGAUUCAGGGGUAGGAGUGAUGGUGGCAGAGGCCGAGGAAGAUGAGGUGGAGGGCGAGCUGGUCCUGAAGGCCGGGGUGGUGGUGGAAGAGGACGCGGUGCUGGUUGAGGUGGUGGUGGAAGAGGGCGUGGUGGAGGUCGCGGUGGUGGCUGUGGAGGUGGAAUGAAGGGAGGAAGCAAAGUAGUGGUUCAGCCGCAUAGGCAUGAUGGAGUCUUCGUUGCCAAGGGGAAGGAAGAUGCCCUUUGUACCAAGAACAUGGUUGUCGGUGAAUCCGUUUAUGGUGAGAAGCGCGUUGCUGUGCAGGUGUUUAAAAGAAUCCUCAAAGCAUAUGCAACAAAACUUUAUUCUCGAUUACCCAAGGGGGGUUCAGGGCUAGUUGCAGCUGCUACUGGUACAAAUGGGCAAAUCAAGGUUAUAUAAGCACUCUUUUACUUGUUGCUUGUUCCUAGUGAGUACAGGUUCCUAGUGAAAUUGGCGAUUGAGGCUGACAGGUUCCUAGUGAGUAUUUGACAUUGAGGCAUAAGUUUUUGGAAACAAAUAGAGAAUAUAAAGUCUUUGACUGAGAAGUUUCAUGUUUUGUAAUCAAAUGUUGAUGUUGUUUGAAUAUUAGUUCGGUACGAUAUUUUCUGAGCUGAAAUGUUGGUAGUGUGGAUUUUAUACUUUGUAGUUUUUAUACUAUACCGAUGUAUGUUGGCACU